rnacentral:ncRNA from 2 species
AUCUAUCUUCGGGGCAGGGUGAAAUUCCCGAUCGGCGGUAUUGAGUUCAUACUCUAAGCCCGCGAGCCUGUAAGGGCAGGAUUUGGUGUGAUUCCAAAGCCGACAGUAUAGUCUGGAUGGGAGAAGAUGGAG